rnacentral:snRNA from 1 species
AUAGUUAUCUGGCAGGGGAGAUACCAAGAUUACGAAGGUUGUUUUCCCAGGGUGAGGCUUAUCCAUUGUACUCCAGAUGUGCUGACCCCUGCUAUUUCCCCAAAUGUGGAAAACUCGACUGCAUAGUUUGUGGUAGUGGGGGACUGUUUGCACUCUCCCCUG